CCAAAGAAACAACCAGAACACAGAGUUCGUAAAGAAGAGAGGAUGAUGCUGCCCUUAAUGCUCAGCUGAUUACAGACUAAACACAAAAGUUCCCAGAGGAAAAUGGUGGACUUGGGAGCUGCUGCCUCAGGAGGAUCUUGAGUGUUAGUGGUUCCUCCCUAUCAGAUGUACCUAAUGCCCAGGAUUUAAUAAAGGAUCAUUCCCAUUCCA